UACGAAGGGGGCUAGCGUUGUUCGGAUUUACUGGGCGUAAGCGCACGUAGGCGGAUCGUUAAGUCGGGGGUGAAAUCCCGGGGCUCAACCCCGGAACUGCCUCCGAAACUGCCGGUCUGGAGGUCGAGAGAGGCGAGUGGAAUUCCGAGUGUAGAGGUGAAAUUCGUAGAUAUUCGGAGGAACACCAGUGGCGAAGGCGGCUCGCUGGCUCGAACCUGACGCUGAGGUGCGAAAGCGUGGGGAGCAAACAGG
rnacentral:rRNA from 1 species